UUGGAGGGCAAGUCUGGUGCCAGCAGCCGCGGUAAUUCCAGCUCCAAUAGCGUAUAUUAAAGUUGUUGCAGUUAAAAAGCUCGUAGUUGAAUUUCGGGAUCAGUAUGUUGGUCGUGCUUCGGUACGUACUGUCAUUACUGGUUUCUCCCUUCUGAAGAACCUUGAUGUCAUUAAUUUGGUGUCUUGGGGAAUCAGGACUGUUACUUUGAAAAAUUAGAAGUGUUUAAAGCAGGCAUACGCUUGAAUACGUUAGCAUGGAAUAAUGAAAAUAGGACGUUUGAUUCUAUUUUGUUGGUUUCUAGGAUCGACGUAAUGAUUAAUAGGGAUAGUUGGGGGCAUUAGUAUUCAAUUGUCAGAGGUGAAAUUCUUGGAUUUAUUGAAGACUAACUACUGCGAAAGCAUUUGCCAAGGAUGUUUUCAUUAAUCAAGAACGAAAGUUAGGGAAUCGAAGACGAUCAGAUACCGUCGUAGUCUUAACCAUAAACUAUGCCGACUAGGGAUCGGAUGAAUGUUAUUUUAAUGACUCAUUCGGCGCCUUAC
rnacentral:rRNA from 1 species